rnacentral:lncRNA from 1 species
CUUUGCUAUCUGUGAUCACUUCAAUCGCUUUUUUUUUUUGCAGAAUUCCGGCAUUCUUCAGAGACUCUUGGUCACACAUCCCUCAGGCUACUCCCUCCUGGAGGCCGAGUGUACCUCAGGUCCCCACCAUGACCUUGAUGACCAAAUUAUCAGGCUCGCAGAGAACACACACCAUCAAUGAAGUGCCCGUCUCGCUUACUGCAGGAUAUGUGAACAGACAGCAUCACAAUCUACUUAACAAUAUCAAGUUUACUGUGGCUGGUAAAAUCAAUGCAUUCCAC